rnacentral:rRNA from 1 species
GAUGAACGCUGGCGGCGUGCUUAACACAUGCAAGUCGAACGGAAAGGCCCUGCUUUUGUGGGGUGCUCGAGUGGCGAACGGGUGAGUAACACGUGAGUAACCUGCCCUUGACUUUGGGAUAACUCCAGGAAACUGGGGCUAAUACCGGAUAGGAGCUCCUGCUGCAUGGUGUUGGUUGGAGAGUUUCGGCGGUGGGGGAUGGACUCGCGGCUUAUCAGCUUGUUGGUGGGGUAGUGGCUUACCAAGGCUUUGACGGGUAGCCGGCCUGAGAGGGUGAACGGCCACAUUGGGACUGAGAUACGGCCCAGACUCCUACGGGAGGCAGCAGUGGGGAAUAUUGCACAAUGGGCGGAAGCCUGAUGCAGCAACGCCGCGUGCGGGAUGACGGCCUUCGGGUUGUAAACCGCUUUCGCCUGUGACGAAGCGUGAGUGACGGUACUGGGUAAAGAAGCACCGGCUAACUACGUG